GAUGAAGAACGCAGCGAAAUGCGAUAAGUAAUGUGAAUUGCAGAAUUCAGUGAAUCAUCGAAUCUUUAAACGCACAUUGCGCCCCUUGGUAUUCCGAGGGGCAUGCCUGUUCGAGCGUCAUUAUAACCCCUCAAGCUCAGCUUGGUGUUGGGGCCUGCUGCACUGGCAGCCCUUAAAAUCAGUGGCGGCGCCAUCUGGCUCUAAGCGUAGUAAUUCUUCUCGCUAUGGAGUCCUGGUGGAUGCUUGCCAUCAACCCCCAAUUUUUCUAUGGUUGACCUCGGAUCAGGUAGGGAUACCCGCUGAACUUAAGCAUAUCAAUAAGCGGAGGA
rnacentral:misc_RNA from 1 species